AGCCGCGCGGUGAGCACAGAGCGAACUAUUCUUUCGCCUUUUACUAAAGAAUACCGUGUGCUCGCCGCAAAUAGUGGCAUACGCCAAUUUUUUGAGGAGUCUGCUCUUACGAGUAGCU
rnacentral:snRNA from 1 species